GCAUAUCAAUAAGCGGAGGAAAAGAAACUAACAAGGAUUCCCUUAGUAACGGCGAGUGAAGAGGGAAGAGCUCAAAUUUUAAAUCUAUCAUGUUUGUACAUGAUCGAAUUGUAAUUUGAAGAAGCGUUUUCUCGUACUUUAUGCAAUCAGUAUAAGUUCUCUUGGAACAGGACAUCAUAGAGGGUGAUAAUCCCGUCUGUUACUGGUUGUGAGGUUCGUUAUGAUACGCUUUCAAAGAGUCGAGUUGUUUGGGAUUGCAGCUCCAAAUGGGUGGUAAACAUCACCUAAGGCUAAAUAUUUGCGAGAGACCGAUAGCGAACAAGUACCGUGAGGGAAAGAUGAAAAGAACUUUGAAAAGAGAGUUAAAAAGUAUGUGAAAUUGUUGAAAGGGAAACGAUUGAAGUCAGUCGUGCAGUCAUCAAUUCAGCGGUUAACAUUUUAUGUUUCCGUGUAAUUUGGUGUCUGUUGGUUAGCAUCAAUUUUGAUUGUUAUAAAAAGGUUAAGGGGAUGUGGCUCCUUCGGGAGUGUUAUAACCCUUAGCGUAAUGUGACGAUUAGGAUUGAGGUUUGCAACGAAUACCUUUUAGGGCAGUUUCACCUGGCCUCUCGUGGAAUUAUAGAUAGUUAAGAGCAUGCUCUUACUGUUUAUGAUUCUACGAAAAGGUUGGAGUGUAAAACUAAUUCGUUAAGGAUGUUGACGUA
rnacentral:rRNA from 1 species